rnacentral:rRNA from 1 species
UGCAGUCGAGCGAUGAAGCACCUUCGGGUGUGAAUUAGCGGCGAACGGGUGAGGAACACGUGAAGAAUCUGCCUUCAACUCUGGGAUAACUCCGGGAAACCGGGGCUAAUACCGGAUAUGAGCCUUGAUCGCAUGAUCGGGGCUGGAAAGUUUUUCGGUUGAAGAUGACUUCGCGGCCUAUCAGCUUGUUGGUGAGGUAAUGGCUCACCAAGGCGACGACGGGUAGCCGGCCUGAGAGGGCGACCGGCCACACUGGGACUGAGACACGGCCCAGACUCCUACGGGAGGCAGCAGUGGGGAAUAUUGGGCAAUGGAGGAAACUCUGACCCAGCGACGCCGCGUGAGGGAUGAAGGCCUUCGGGUUGUAAACCUCUUUCAGUAGGGAAGAAGCGAAAGUGACGGUACCUACAGAAGAAGCACCGGCUAACUAUGUGCCAGCAGCCGCGGUAAUACAUAGGGUGCAAGCGUUGUCCGGAAUUAUUGGGCGUAAAGAGCUCGUAGGUGGUUCGAUACGUCGGAUGUGAAAAUCAGGGGCUCAACCCCUGACCUGCAUCCGAUACGGUCGAGCUAGAGUUUGGUAGGGGAGACUGGAAUUCCUGGUGUAGCGGUGGAAUGCGCAGAUAUCAGGAGGAACACCGAUGGCGAAGGCAGGUCUCUGGGCCAAUACUGACACUGAGGAGCGAAAGCGUGGGGAGCGAACAGGAUUAGAUACCCUGGUAGUCCACGCCGUAAACGGUGGGCGCUAGUUGUGCGAACCUUCCACGGUUUGUGCGACGCAGC